UCUUGGUGCGGUGGACUGCUG
rnacentral:miRNA from 1 species